rnacentral:rRNA from 1 species
AUUGAACGCUGGCGGCAGGCCUAACACAUGCAAGUCGAGCGGAUGAAGGGAGCUUGCGCCUGGAUUCAGCGGCGGACGGGUGAGUAAUGCCUAGGAAUCUGCCUGGUAGUGGGGGAUAACGUCCGGAAACGGGCGCUAAUACCGCAUACGUCCUGAGGGAGAAAGUGGGGGAUCUUCGGACCUCACGCUAUCAGAUGAGCCUAGGUCGGAUUAGCUAGUUGGUGGGGUAAAGGCCUACCAAGGCGACGAUCCGUAACUGGUCUGAGAGGAUGAUCAGUCACACUGGAACUUGGACACGGUCCAGACUCCUACGGGAGGCCGCAGUGGGGAAUAUUGGACAAUGGGCGAGAGCCUGAUCCAGCCAGGCCGCGUGUGUGAAGAAGGUCUUCGGAUUGUAAAGCACUUUAAGUUGGGAGGAAGGGCAGUAAGUUAAUACCUUGCUGUUUUGACGUUACCAACAGAAUAAGCACCGGCUAACUUCGUG